rnacentral:rRNA from 1 species
GAUGAACGCUGGCGGCGUGCCUAAUACAUGCAAGUCGAGCGAACAGACGAGGAGCUUGCUCCUCUGACGUUAGCGGCGGACGGGUGAGUAACACGUGGAUAACCUACCUAUAAGACUGGGAUAACUUCGGGAAACCGGAGCUAAUACCGGAUAAUAUAUUGAACCGCAUGGUUCAAUAGUGAAAGACGGUUUUGCUGUCACUUAUAGAUGGAUCCGCGCCGCAUUAGCUAGUUGGUAAGGUAACGGCUUACCAAGGCAACGAUGCGUAGCCGACCUGAGAGGGUGAUCGGCCACACUGGAACUGAGACACGGUCCAGACUCCUACGGGAGGCAGCAGUAGGGAAUCUUACGCAAGGGGCGAAAGCCUGACGGGGCAACGCCGCGUGAGUGAUGAAGGUCUUCGGAUCGUAAAACUCUGUUAUUAGGGAAGAACAAAUGUGUAAGUAACUAUGCACGUCUUGACGGUACCUAAUCAGAAAGCCACGGCUAACUACGUG